AUUGAACGCUGGCGGCAUGCCUUACACAUGCAAGUCGAACGGCAGCGGGGGAGAAGCUUGCUUUUCCUGCCGGCGAGUGGCGAACGGGUGAGUAAUACAUCGGAACGUGCCCUGUAGUGGGGGAUAACUAGUCGAAAGAUUAGCUAAUACCGCAUACGACCUGAGGGUGAAAGUGGGGGACCGCAAGGCCUCAUGCUAUAGGAGCGGCCGAUGUCUGAUUAGCCAGUUGGUGGGGUAAAGGCCUACCAAGGCGACGAUCAGUAGCUGGUCUGGGAGUACAAUCAGCCAGACUGGGACUGGGACACGGCGCAGACUCCUACGGGAGGCAGCAGUGGGGAAUUUUUGACAAUGGGCGAAAGCCUGAUCCAGCAAUGCCGCGUGUGUGAAGAAGGCCUUCGGGUUGUAAAGCACUUUUGUCCGAAAAGAAAUGGCUCUGGUUAAUACCUGGGGUCGAUGACGGUACCGGAAGAAUAAGGACCGGCUAACUACGUGCCAGCCGCCGCAGUAA
rnacentral:rRNA from 1 species